rnacentral:rRNA from 1 species
AGAAUCAACGCUGGCGGCGUGCCUAACACAUGCAAGUCGAACGAGAAAGUGGAGCAAUCCAUGAGUAAAGUGGCGCACGGGUGAGUAACACGUGACUAACCUACCCUUGAGUGGGGAUAACCUAGGGAAACCUGGGCUAAUACCGCAUAAUACCUUCGGGUCAAAGCAGCAAUGCGCUUGGAGAGGAGUUCGCGGCCGAUUAGUUAGUUGGCGGGUAAUGGCCCACAAGACGAUGAUCGGUAUCC